rnacentral:rRNA from 1 species
GACGAACGCGGCGGCGUGCUUAACACAUGCAAGUCGAACGAAGAGCGAUGGAAGCUUGCUUCUAUCAAUCUUAGUGGCGAACGGGUGAGUAACGCGUAAUCAACCUGCCCUUCAGAGGGGGAUAACAGUUGGAAACGACUGCUAAUACCGCAUACGAUCUAAUCUCGGCAUCGAGGAUAGAUGAAAGGUGGCCUCUACAUGUAAGCUAUCACUGAAGGAGGGGAUUGCGUCUGAUUAGCUAGUUGGAGGGGUAACGGCCCACCAAGGCGAUGAUCAGUAGCCGGUCUGAGAGGAUGAACGGCCACAUUGGGACUGAGACACGGCCCAGACUCCUACGGGAGGCAGCAGUGGGGAAUCUUCCGCAAUGGACGAAAGUCUGACGGAGCAACGCCGCGUGAGUGAUGACGGCCUUCGGGUCGUAAAGCUCUGUUAAUCGGGACGAAAGGCCUUCUUGCGAAUAGUGAGAAGGAUUGACG